ensembl:lncRNA
AAACAAUGCAUCUGAGUGAUUGGAAGGGCUGCAGCCAGGAUCCACCCCUUCCAGCCCUCAUUUAAGGGCUGGCAGUGGAAGUGUGGGCAUCUCUCUUUAGAGGUCCUUGCUUAUCUGGGUCUUCUGAAGGGAGCUGUGAUUACAGCAGAUGGAUGUGCAGGGCUGCGUGCUCUCCUCAGAUGCACUGAGGACCUCCAGUCAGGUGAAUGGGGCCUGAGCUCCUCCAGGCAGCACAGUCCUGCCACAACAGAGUCAUCAAACAGCAAAAGGUGAAAGAAACAGCUUCUUCCUUGGCUGACCAUUUGACUCAGCCUGAGUCAGCAGCACAAAGGCAACGUGCUGUGUUUCCUCGAGCCCUGCAGCAGCACACUGCACCAGGGAAGCACUGCGGUCAGCCAGAAGUUCUUGGACAGACGGUGGGAGUUAAGUGCAUGAAAUCCAACACUCCGUGUCAUAUACCAGAGGCUGAGCCAGCUCAUCCAGCUCGAAACUCCGACUAAAAACAUCAUCUAAAAACAGCUCCUCGUGCUGGUGCCCAGAGGGGAGGAGCAGAACCCAGCGGGCACAGACGGAGCUUCAAUAAAUAGCGGAGCCUACAGGACCGGGAGGGGAUGGGAAGGAUGUCACAAUGACAGCAGCAGCUCUGCACAGGUUGGGAUGCAGGAUGUGCAGCUGCCAUGCACCCGGUGCACCCUGCACAUGGCUGUGGUGAGGUCACAGCUCCCCUGCAGCCUGGCCGGCUCUUGGAGCUGGUAAUGAAUGCUACAAGAGUAUCAUGGUUUUCUUAUUACCAAUUAAAUGAGCUUUCCCGGGGUUGAAAACCAAUCAUUUUUCUUUCAAAGCUUCAUGUAUUAGAUAGACACAGCAUUAAAAAAAACCACAACACAGGACAUUUGAAAUGCUGUGUUUACUCUUCUCUUCGGAGGAGCUCAACUGUUCUCUGCUGGGAUGCACAUAAGGCCCAUAUUUCCACUCUAGGUAUUUUUGGUCAGAAGGAGAAGAUAAAUAGUGCACUCCAAACGUCACACUUCAGCCGGCCCCAGCUAACUUUGGGCAAGAAAACCUCACACGGAACACCAGCGCAUUUUGAGCCUGAACUGUAAUUCUCUUCUCCUGGCAGGAAUUUGUUGCUAAUCGAGCCUAUCUGCAGCAUGGGAACCAACGAGUGAGGGCUGAAACCAAGGCUGUCAGACUCACUUCACUUACUGGUUAUGAAAUGGGACAAAACAGACCCAGAGUCACACGGAAACAUGAGCACGGCGGUGACACGGCCUUCCAUGCACAGCGUCAGCACUAAAAACAGCAUAUAGAUGGUUUGGGAAGUUAUAAACACCGACCUCAUGAUUCUAUUCUGGGUUGGUCC